GGAGGAUUACCCAAGCCUGGCUGAAGGGAACGGUCUUGAAAACCGUCAGGCAUGUAAAGGCGUGCGUGGGUUCGAAUCCCACAUCCUCCUU
rnacentral:tRNA from 1 species